rnacentral:rRNA from 1 species
AGCUCCAAUAGCGUAUAUUAAAGUUGUUGCAGUUAAAAAGCUCGUAGUUGGAUUUGUGGUUGAGGCGGCCGGCCCUCACUAUGUGUGGUGUUGGGCUGCCUCGUCCAUCCUUGGGUGGAACCAGUGUGGCAUUAAGUUGUCGUGUUGGGGAUGCCCAUCAUUUACUGUGAAAAAAUUAGAGUGUUCAAAGCAGGCUUACGCCGUUGAAUAUAUUAGCAUGGAAUAAUGAGAUAGGACCUUGGUACUAUUUUGUUGGUUUGCGCACCGAGGUAAUGAUUAAUAGGGACAGUUGGGGGUAUUCGUAUUCCAUUGUCAGAGGUGAAAUUCUUGGAUUUCUGGAAGACGAACUACUGCGAAAGCAUUUACCAAGGAUGUUUUCAUUAAUCAAGAACGAAAGUAC